UCUAGGCCGGUGGGCUCGGGUCCCGGCCUCCCCCAGCAGCGAUCUCGGACCGCGUAGCUCCACCGACCAGGGGUCAGGCAGAGUUCGCGGAGUUUCUGCACAAGUGACUGAAGACGGACACUAGAUACUCAUACUGGUAAUUUGUGUUUCCCGCCAGACAUCUUGUUGCCUCGCCUUUCCCCAGAACGCCUGCCUGUUGUCAUAGAAACCCAGGACCCCGCGCCUCAGCGACCCUCAAUGGGGACUGUCUUCGGCGGUGCCGACGGAGGAGAAAGACACCAUCCCAACAACCUAUCGGGAUCCGAGCCCCAAUCAGCUGCAGCUCGGUGGUUGUGCAGGCUUCCAGGGCCAGGUCCAAGGUGAACAUCUCGAGGAGGCUGUGUGCCUGCAGCUCCAGAUUGAACCAGUCUGGUCUCAAGGUCACAUCCUUAAGGACGGACAUGGAUGAGGACCCACCAACCUCAGGCUUGACCCAUUUCAUACUCAUGGCAUGCCACGAUACUUACUUCCAAAGAACAUGAACAGGACAAAGAGCACGGGAUAGAAGAAGCUCAAGCUAAGGGCCAUGGCAUAUUCGUGUACUACAGCAGACACAGCAAAGACAGCUAACAUCGCAGCUGAUUUGAAUUUCUUAGUGAAUAACUAGGGUAAAUGAAAAUAUUUUAAA